rnacentral:lncRNA from 1 species
UUAACUAACAACCCAUUUAUGAUAUUAUGGUGUGGAGCAAAAGUUCUAUAUAAUCCUCAAAAUCUUUGUUCACUUGCCAUAGAAAUUCAUAAUGGAUCAUCACUUGGUCUCAUUCUUAGCUCUUUUUCUCAGUUCACUCAGUUUCAUCCUUUUUGUUUCACAGUUUCUAAAAGUGAGAAACAGAUCCAAAAACUCAGUGAAAACAUUGAAGCUUCCCCCAGGGCCAUGGAAGCUACCUGUCAUUGGAAGCUUACACCACUUAGUUGGCUCACUACCACAUCAUCGGUUGAGAGAACUUGCUAAAAAACAUGGUCCUCUCAUGCACCUACAACUUGGUGAGUCAUCAACCGUUGUGGUUUCUUCUCCAGAAGUGGCUAAAGAUGUCCUGAAAACCUAUGAUGCCAUCUUUUCUCAAAGGCCCCAUCAAAUUGCCGCAGACAUCAUGUGUUAUGGUUCCACUGACAUUGCCACUGCACCAUAUGGGGGGUAUUGGAAGCAGCUAAGAAGAAUAUGCUCACAAGAGCUUCUAAGCAACGCACGUGUGAGGUCCUUUCGAUCAAUAAGAGAAGCAGAAGUAAUGAAUUUAGUAAGAUAUAUUCAGACCAACACUGGUUCUUGUGUGAACCUUAGUGAGAAAAUAACAUACAUGACAAGUGUCAUCAUUGCAAGGACGGCUUUUGGUGAAAAAUGUAAGGAUCAACAAGAGUUCAUUUCCCUUAUCAAGAAACUUCUAAAAUUGCUCGAACGUUUAGCUAUUUUAGAUUUGUUCCCUUCUCACAAUUGGCUUCAUGUGAUUAGUGGGGAGAAACCUAGAUUGGAGAAGUUUCACAAAAAAUAUGAUGUAAUAAUGGGAAACAUCAUUACAGAGACAGAAAAUAUUAUUGGUGAAGAAGAGGUCAAUAGUCUCCUUUCAGUUCUUCUAAAUUUGAAAAAGCAAGGUGGCCUCGAAUAUCCUUUGACAAUCGAUAACAUCAAGGCUGUAAUGUUGGUGAGUGUGUGAAUUACUUUUAGUAAUUAUUUGCUUAUGUUACUGCAUGCAUAUUAAUGGAUUUAAGACCAACCUUCAUUUCAUGUCAAUAUAAAAUUAAAUAACAAAGGCACAAAAAAUUCUAUCUAGUGUUAUAAUAUUGUGAAUAGAACUAUACACACACACGCUCGUAUAACUCUAUAAAUAUUAAUUCUUAGGAGUUGCAUUUUUAUGGGAAAAUUUUGCAAUAUAUGCAUGCGAGUAUAAAUUCCAAAGCUAAAUAAAUUUAAAUUGGUUUUGGUGUUGUAGGACAUGUUUGCGGCUGGAACUGAUACAUCAUCUGUAGUUAUAGAAUGGGCCAUGUCAGAGAUGUUGGAAAACCCAAAAGUAAUGAACACAGCUCAGGAAGAAGUUAGAAGAGUUUUUGGUAGUAAAGGAUACAUGAAUGAAGAAUCAUUUGAAGAACUCAAAUAUCUGAAAGCAGUGAUCAAAGAAACCCUAAGAUUGCACCCUCCCGGCCCUCUUCUUCUUCCAAGGGAAUGUAGAGAAACUUGUGAGGUAAAAGGGUAUACAAUACCUGCUGGAACCAGAGUGAUAGUAAAUGCAUGGGCAAUUGGAAGAGACCCUGAUUAUUGGAAUGAUCCAGAGAAGUUUUAUCCUGAGAGAUUCAUGAACAGUCCGAUCGAUUAUAAAGGGUCCCAUCAUGAAUUGAUACCCUUUGGUGCUGGAAGGAGAAUGUGUGCUGGCAUGUCUUUUGGGAUAAAUAUGAUUGAACUUUGUCUUGCACAACUACUUUACUAUUUUAAUUGGGAACUUCCAAAUGGAAACAGGAAAAACUUGGAAAUGACUGAAGCUUUGGAAGGAGCCUUCUCAAGAAGACAAACGGAUUUAGUCUUAGUUCCCAUUUCUUACAAUCCUCUUCCUAUUUCAUCAAACCUUCAUUGAAGUGUUUAUCACGUUUCACCAUUAUCCUUGUUCUUUCUUUUCUGUUACUUAUUGAGAAUCUUAUGAUUCUGACAGUAAUUUUGUUUCGUGUUCUGUUUCUGUUUUUCUUGUUUCCCUUUGUAACUCUAUUAAUAGAGUCUUCCCUUCCCCUUUCAGUUUUUAAGAAACAAUAUGAUUUUUCAUCAUUGAUAGAAAAUAAGAAAAGGUGAAGUUUUUCUUACCUCUNUCGUCGCCCUCAUCAUUUUUCUCUUCUAUGUCUUCUCCAUCGUCGUCGUGUUUGACGGUGAUCGGCAACCUUGGACGCGCUCCUCUCACCAUCGUCAGACGAAGCUCCGCAAUCCUUUCUCUUUCUUACUUUCUUUCGUUUUUCGAAUUCUGCCACGCACACAG